GAUGAACGCUGGCGGCAUGCCUUACACAUGCAAGUCGAACGGCAGCGGGGACUUCGGUCCGCCGGCGAGUGGCGAACGGGUGAGUAAUGUAUCGGAACGUACCAUUGAGUGGGGGAUAACGUAGCGAAAGUUACGCUAAUACCGCAUAUUCUCUCCGGAGGAAAGCAGGGGACCGCAAGGCCUUGCGCUCUUUGAGCGGCCGAUAUCAGAUUAGCUAGUUGGUGAGGUAAAGGCUCACCAAGGCGACGAUCCGUAGCGGGUCUGAGAGGAUGAUCCGCCACACUGGAACUGAGACACGGUCCAGACUACUACGGGAGGCAGCAGUGAGGAAUUUUGGACAAUGGGGGCAACCCUGAUCCAGCCAUGCCGCGUGAGUGAAAAAGGCCUUCGGGUUGUAAAGCUCUUUCAGCCGGGAAAAAAUCGCAUGGGCUAAUACCCUGUGUGGAUGAUGGUACCGGAAUAAGAAGCACCGGCUAACUACGUGCCAGCCGCCGCAGUAA
rnacentral:rRNA from 1 species